AGGGAGGCAAAGCCGCGAGGCAGAGNAAACCCCUAAAAGCCAUCCCAGUUCGGAUUGCAGGCUGCAACCCGCCUGUAUGAAGUUGGAAUCGCUAGUAAUCGCGGAUCAGCAUGCCGCGGUGAAUACGUUCCCGGGCCUUGUACACACCGCCCGUCACACCAUGAGAGUCGGGAACACCCGAAGUCCGUAGCCUAACCGCAAGGAGGGCGCGGCCGAAGGUGGGUUCGAUAAUUGGGGUGAAGUCGUAACAAGGUAGC
rnacentral:rRNA from 1 species